GCCGCGGCGAAGUGAGGCUCCAGGAUCCGCGCUCGGGGCGGCCUCGACGCAGGUGCUCGGUGUGCCCGGCCGCCCAAGACUCCGCCUUCCUCACGCUAGUGCGUCUGGAGAGGAGGAGGGGGCGGCACGCACAGCCGUGCCCUGCCGUCGGCGACGACGGCGCGGCCGUGCCCUCCGACGCCGCUCUUCUGCGCGCGUGAGGACACCAACUCCGCUCUCGACGACGACCGCACCAUGGAAUGGAGCCCUUCAAGGAAGACUUUGGGUUGCUUGUAACCCGCCAUGUCACAGAUAGGGUGCCUGUUAGAAAUCUUCUAUGGGGGUAACCAACAAGCGACAAAUAUUCAGUCUUGAGGGCGCAAGUACUGAAGCUAUGAUCCAGCUGUUGAGAAUAACUGAUAAUCAUGGUGUCUUAUGUGUAACUAUUUUCUUCAGAAAUCACCAAGUACUUACUGCAAAGGUUUUCGUGUCACCGACAACUCUGCUUCACUAGUAGAUUGGGGAAGGCGGCCGCUGCCCUCGUCUCCGCAUUGCCACGUCCUACUCCUCUGCUCCACAACAUACAUG